rnacentral:rRNA from 1 species
UACAGAGGGUGCAAGCGUUAAUCGGAGUUACUGGGCGUAAAGGGCGCGUAGGUUGUUUUAUAAGAGAGAGGUGAAAUCCCUGGGCUUAACCUAGGAACUGCCUCUCUGACUGUAGAACUGGAGUAUUGUAGAGGGUAGUGGAAUUUCCGGUGUAGCGGUGAAAUGCGUAGAGAUCGGAAGGAACACCAGUGGCGAAGGCGGCUACCUGGACAAAUACUGACACUGAGGCGCGAGGGCGUGGGUAGCAAACAGG